ACGAGCCACAUGCAGGGAAACUUGCACGUGUGGUUCUGGCCGGGCACAGCGAAGCCAAAUUCAAUCAAGGCAUGGGGGCUUACUUUUCCUGAGGCUGAUUCAUUCUAUUCAAAUUUAGCUAACCCUGC
rnacentral:ncRNA from 1 species